UGCCAAUGCCUUGAACAUUAACAGGUUCCUACCAUCUUUUGCUAUGGGUCAAUAAAGUAUUAUAUAUUAGCCAAAUUGCCCACAACAGUUUGUGGUAUCACAUGUGAUUAUAAAUAAAGAUCUUAGAAUUUGCCAAUAAACUACAUGGAUAAUUGCACAAUUGCUUGACUCUAGCUUGGAGCACGCAUAUUAUGAUGGAUUCAUGAAUGGUAUAACGCCAUAACCCAUGCUUUUAGUGUUAUUCAUUUAGAUAAAUUAUAAGUUAGAUUUUAGUGCAAUAUAAAAAAAUAAUGUCAGGUUUGAUUUAUGAAACUUUUGGCAUUUAAGACAUGGAUUAUUUUCUUGAACCUUUCUAGAAUGUUCUAAUAAUCUGAUUGAAUACUGCUAUAUUCUUUGGAUCUCUGCUAAAUAAUGCCAAGGUUAAACUUAAGCUUGGGAAUUUCCUUAAAAAAUUCUAAAGCUAAGUUGACUACUAAAGAAUCUUAUUUUGUCAUACAUUAGAACAGUACCAAUUUUGUUUAAAAUUCUUGGAGGAUAAAAAAUGGAGCUGUAUAUGACUGUAAUUUUUUUUUUCCAAAGGUUAAACUCUUUCAAGAGUACUUAAUUGAUUCUGAUGCCCAUGGCGUGUUGUUGCUCAUCUGUGUUUGGCUAUAAUUGGUGUCAUUAUCUAUAAGUCUGACUGUGCCUGCCUUUCAGUUUGAGGCUACUUCUACGUA
rnacentral:misc_RNA from 1 species